UCGGCGAGUGACCGGGAUGAGCUCAAAUUUAAAAUCUGGCGUCUUUCAGGCGUCCGAGUUGUAAUCUAUAGAGGCGUUUUCCGCGCCGGACCGCGUCCAAGUCUCUUGGAAUAGAGUAUCAAAGAGGGUGACAAUCCCGUACUUGACGCGACAACCGGUGCUCUGUGAUACGUUCUCAAUGAGUCGAGUUGUUUGGGAAUGCAGCUCUAAAUGGGUGGUAAAUUCCAUCUAAGGCUAAAUAUUGGCGAGAGACCGAUAGCGAACAAGUACCGUGAGGGAAAGAUGAAAAGCACUUUGGAAAGAGAGUUAAACAGCACGUGAAAUUGUUAAAAGGGAAACGAUUGAAGUCAGUCGUGUGAAAGGUAUUCAGCCGUCUCUGGCGGUGUAUUUGCCUUUCACGGGUCAACAUCAGUUUGAUCCGGUAGAAAAAGGCGGGAGGAAGGUGGCACCCUCGGGUGUGUUAUAGCCUCCUGUCAUAUGUGCCGGACCAGACUGAGGAACGCAGCUUGCCGCAAGGCCGGGGUUCGCCCACGUACAAGCUUAGGAUGUUGACAUAAUGGCUUUAAACGACCCGUCUUGA
rnacentral:rRNA from 1 species